rnacentral:rRNA from 1 species
UUGUAAUAAGAUUUUAAUUGAAUGCUAAAAGAAUGGAAAUUUAAAAAAAAACUUUUUUAAAAAUAAAAAUUGAAUUUUUUUUAAUUUGUGCAAAAACAAUUAUACUUAUUAAAGACAAGAAGACCCUAAGAAUUUAAGAUUUUACAAUUAAAAAGUUUUUUUUUUAAAAUCUUGAUUGGGGCGAUCAAAAAAUAUUAAUAACUUUUUAAAAUUUAAAUUGAUCUAUUAUUAAUAAACUAAUGAAUUAAAUACUCUAGGGAUAACAGCGUAAUAAUUUUUGAUAGAUCUUAUUGACAAAAUAGUUUGCGACCUCGAUGUUGGAUUAGGAUUCUUUUUUAAUGAAGAAGUUAAAAAAAGAAGUUUGUUCAACUUUUAAAUUCCUACUUGAUCUGAGUUCAGACCGG